CCCAACGCGUCAAAAUAAAUGCCAUGAUAAUAUUUUCGGCACCCAU
rnacentral:sRNA from 1 species